AUGUCUUUGCUAUGAAAGCAUAAAGGAACCUACUCUUAUCCAUUUCCUCAUUCACCACUUAAACACACACACCCAGUUCGUUCUCUCUCUCUCUCACCGGUGACCGGCCACGGUGGAGCCGCGACGGCCGUUCUCCGGCGCGUACCCCCUAAACUGAACCUCCCAAAUCCAUUUCCGGCAUCCAUUUUUCUGUUCGAGCAACGAGGAAGGUAGCUUGGUCUCCGACAAGCCGCAGCUCGAGAGUCCACUCCGGUGGAACAGGAAUCGCCACCGACGAUGCUAGGGCCAACCGACAGCGACGAGAACGGAGGUGAUGGUUUGGGUUUGGGUUUGGCAACGGUAGCAACGACAGCGGAUGGUGGCAGCCGGCGCCGGCGGCUCCGGGUCGGCCGACGGCGACGGUGAUGGUGGUGGCUAUUGUCAAGUUCUAAGUAGCACUGGAACGGGUACGGGAUCGGGGUACGGGGACGAUACGGGAACGAGGAACGGCAAAACUCAAAAUUCCAAGAUACGGAUUCUGGUUCAUCUAGUGAGAGAUCGGCAAUCGAUAGAGAAUUAGAGAUGAUGAGACUUGAGAGUUUAGAGAUUAGAGAAGCCGAAUAUGAUAGGUCUAUUUAUUUAAUGGCCGGUUGUGGAAUUUGAAAGGGUAAAACCCCUAAAAAAUGGAAACGGGCUGGAUACUUCUACCAGAUACGUCCCCGACAUUGGAAACGUUUAGGAAACGUCCCCGACGAGUACCCAUGGUGUUUCCGUCCCCGACAAGUACCCGAGACGGGUACGGCCACAUAAAUGGAGUCCCCGUGCUACAUAGGUCAAGUUGUUUUGGGUCAACUUGGUUCACUCAUUUCACGAACUGAUUUGGUUCCGGUUCGGGUCUUGGUUCGAGAUGCGGGUUCGAGUCAACUCAGCCAAACGGGUCAGCCGGGUUAAAUCGGUCAAACCCGAGUCAACUCGGGUCAACAGCAGUCAAUGACGGUCAAAGCCAGUCAACUCGGUUAACUGAGGUCAAACUCAGUCAACACGAGACGCGGAGUACUAUAGAUGCACGCUAGUGAAAUCACGUUCGUGGGAUGACACUACGGAAUCACGUUAAGAUAGCUUUGCAAAGGAAUGUCAAGGUUAACGGCUUGCAAACACGCACAUUUGGGUUUGGCAACGGUAGCAACGACAGCGGAUGGUGGCAGCCGGCGCCGGCGGCUCCGGGCCGGCCGACGGCGACGGUGAUGGUGGUGGCUAUUGUCAAGUUGUUUUGGGUCAACUUGGUUCACUCAUUUCACGAACUGAUUUGGUUCCGGUUCGGGUCUUGGUUCGAGAUGCGGGUUCGAGUCAACUCAGCCAAACGGGUCAGCCGGGUUAAAUCGGUCAAACCCGAGUCAACUCGGGUCAACAGCAGUCAAUGACGGUCAAAGCCAGUCAACUCGGUUAACUGAGGUCAAACUCAGUCAACACGAGACGCGGUAAAGUUUUAAGACGCGAAAGUUAGAUUAGAUUGAUACAGAUUUCAGAAUUUUAUUUAGUAUACGCGAACCGAGCUCGACCCGACUAACUAGCGUUUUUACAUUUAGCGAUUUUGCUUCGUAUUCGACGUUUCGAUAUAUUUAACGUAAAGUAUAUAUAAUGUUUGUUGAGUGAUUGUUGAAUUUUGACAAAUAACGACAACUUGAGUUGUCGGGGUUAUU